CACAAAUGCUUUUCCUUCAGACAGCUGAGCCAACAUUUGGUAAUAUAACCCAAGAUGAGAUCAACUUUGAAUAUAUAAACAAAGAAAGACAAAAAGAAUGGCAGAUUGUCAAGAACAUCGUGGUGCAGGACAUAUUGUUUCACAAUGGAAUUGUUCCUGGUUUGGGGAAAUGGAUACAUGAAUUGAGUCAUCCAGCUAAGGCAGGGUGUGGGAAGAGACAGAACAAAUGCCGUUAAGUGACGUCCGUCUGUAAGAGGUUUGGGACUUCAGUGCAAGCCAACAAUCAUUUCACUACUUUUGUUUCUCUUUGCUGUCACAACAGCCCUCCCAGGUUAAGUCUCUCGCCCACUCAAUUUCUUCCUGUAGACCACCAUACAUCUGUUAAUUAUUUCUACUUGGCAAACUUUCCUCCCCUUAUCCCUCCUGUUUCCUGUGCUAUGACCCCUUUUUG
rnacentral:lncRNA from 1 species